CAGUAGCCGCGGUAAUACGUAGGGUGCAAGCGUUGUCCGGAAUCAUUGGGCGUAAAGCGCGCGUAGGUGGCCAUUUAAGUCCGCUGUGAAAGUCAAAGGCUCAACCUUUGAAAGCCGGUGGAUACUGGAUGGCUAGAGUACGGAAGAGGCGUGUGGAAUUCCUGGUGUAGCGGUGGAAUGCGCAGAUAUCAGGAGGAACACCAAUAGCGAAGGCAGCUCGCUGGGACGUUACUGACACUGAGGCGCGAAAGCGUGGGGAGCGAACAGGAUUAGAUACCCCCGUAGUUCCUGUCUCUUAUAC
rnacentral:rRNA from 1 species